UUCACGGAGAGUUUGAUCCUGGCUCAGGACGAACGCUGGCGGCGCGCUUAACACAUGCAAGUCGAGCGAGAACCAGACCUUCGGGUCUGGGGACAGCGGCGAACGGGUGAGUAACACGUGGGUAAUCAACCCUCGGUACUGGGAUA
rnacentral:rRNA from 1 species